GACGAACGCUGGCGGCGUGCUUAACACAUGCAAGUCGAACGGAAAGGCCCUGCCUUGGUGGGGUGCUCGAGGGGCGAACGGGUGAGUAACACGUGAGUAACCUGUCACUGACUUUGGGAUAACUUCAGGAAACUGGGGCUAAUACCGGAUAGGAGCUCCUGCCGCAGGGUGGGGGUGGGUAAGUUUCGGUGGUUGGGGAUGGACUAGCGGCUUAUUAGCUUGUUGGAUGGGUAGUGGGUUAGCAAGGCAAGGACGGGUGGCCGGCCUGGGCGGGUGAGCGGCCACGUUGGGCCUGGGAUGCGGCCCAGACUCCUACGGGACGCAGCGGUGCGGAAUAGUGCACUAUGGGAGGAGGCCUGAUGCAGUAACGCAGCGUGGGGGAUGACGGCAUUCGGGUUGUAAACCGCUUUCGCCUGUGACGAAGCGUGAAUGACGGUAACGGGUAAAGAAGCACCGGCUAACUCCGUG
rnacentral:rRNA from 1 species